rnacentral:rRNA from 1 species
AUGAGAGGGCUACACGCGAUUAACAAAGCCCUGGUAACGAUGCUGCCCAAGGUUGAUGGGGCGGUUGAGUUGAAGGUUUUCCGACCGGUUAGCUUGGUCCACGGGGCGGUAAAGAUCUUUGAUAAAGUCUUAUUCUUGAGAGUUACUGAUGAGCUUCCAAACCUUGUUGGAGUGCACCAAAGUGCCUUCAUCAGAGGGCGAUGAAUCCAUGACAACUUUAUGAUGGUUCAGGGCAUGACUAAGAAACUUCAUUCCCUUAAGCAAAUGGCGGUAAUGAUCAAACUAGAUAUUUCCAAAGCCUUUGUCUCGGUGAAGUGGCUAUUCGUCCUAGAGGUUCUACACGCCCUAGGCUUUGGCAGGAGAUGGAUUGCAUGGAUGUCCGGUUAUUUCUCCACAGCAUCAACUCGAAUCCUCAUCAAUGGCGUGCUAGGUGCACAAUUAAGGAAUAGCAUGGGUUUCGGCAAGGUGACCCGUUGUUCCCAAUGA